GUAUACCAAAAUUACAAUAAAUAUACACUGUGUAUAUACUUCUUAUAAUCAUGUCUAAAUCAUGUAACAUCUUGUAUCUCAACACCCCCCCUCAAGUUGGAGGGGGGAACCACCUGCUACUUGGUGAGCAGCGGAAGCAGCAAAGUGCCUGGCAGAGGCUUGGUGAGCAAGUCUGCUAGCUGACGAGAAGUAGGCACAUGAAGCAACUUGAUAAAACCAGAAAGCAACAAGUCCCGAACAAAAUGGCAAUCCACCUCGAUAUGUUUCGUACGUUCAUN
rnacentral:lncRNA from 1 species